rnacentral:rRNA from 1 species
GACGAACGCUGGCGGCGUGCCUAAUACAUGCAAGUCGAACGCAGUGGGGACGGGUGAGUAACACGUGGGUAACCUCCCAUAUGAGGGGAGAACACUUGGAAACAGGUGCUAAACCCAUACUGAUGGAUGAACCCGCGGUGCAUUAGGUAGUUGGUGAGGUAACGGCUCACCAAGGCUACGUUGCAUAGGUGACCUGAGAGGGUGAUCGGCCACAACGGGACUGAGACACGGCCCAGACUCCGACGUGAGGCAGCAGUAGGGAAUCUUCGGCAAUGGACGAAAGUCUGGCCGAGCAACGCCGCGUGAGUGAAGAAGGUUUUCGGAUCGUAAAACUCUGUUGUUAGAGAAGCGGUAUCUAACCAGAAAGCCACGGCUAACUACGUGCCAGCAGCCGCGGUAAUUC